rnacentral:rRNA from 1 species
UACGGAGGGGCCGAGCGUUGUCCGGAUUCAUUGGGCGUAAAGAGCUCGUAGGCGGUUCAGUCAGUCGGGUGUGAAAUCUCCGGGCUCAACUCGGAGGGGCCACCCGAUACUGCUGUGACUCGAGUCCGGUAGGGGAGUGGGGAAUUCCUGGUGUAGCGGUGAAAUGCGCAGAUAUCAGGAGGAACACCGGUGGCGAAGGCGCCACUCUGGGCCGGUACUGACGCUGAGGAGCGAAAGCGUGGGGAGCAAACAGG